UACAAUGCUACAUAAAGAGACCUAAAGACAACAACAUCACAUGGCAGCAACACAUGACCACAACAUAGCAGCAGCACAACAUGGUAGCAGUACAAAACAUGGCACACACAUUGAGCACAGACAACAGCACAAAAGGCAAUAAGGUAGAGAGAACAAUACAUCACGCGAAGCAGCCACAACUGUUCUCGUUCCAGUCGUAAGCUACAGACCGUUAACAGAUGUGACUGGCAGAACGGGUGUUGGAUGAGGGCUGAAGUAGUUAUCUCGGAUAGGAGGGAGUGAGGCCCUAAUCUCUGGCGAUGCUUACCGUCUGAAUACACACGGGGGUGCCCGCGAGGCAUCACAGUUUGCAUUCUAGGCCCCUUUUCCUGGAACCAGGGCUCUACAGCAGAGGCCACCUCAGGGCAGGAUGGCAAGGAGGGGGAGCAGUCUUCCUGCAAAUCACAUGGUACAGGAGGUGUCUUUACUUCAUGAGUUCAGCUUGUGGUCUACGAUGUAGUUGAGAUAUAAAUAUAUUUGUAACCAGUGGUAUUAAUCAAAAGGGACUAUUACACCACUGUUUUAGUUAACGUCGCUAUGUGUGUCUGCUUGCCCCACCCUUGUGAGUUCUGGUGUUCUCUACUUAUCCUGUCUCCCUCUCUUCAGCCCCCUCGUUCCUGCCAGACACUGAGGAUCACGUGACCUCUGUAUAGGUUUUCCAUAAAUUCCUCACAUUCAACCAAUAGGUAUCCAGUAUCACACCCUUCUAUUUCCCUGUUACUUCACUGUUCUGCUGCCUGCACAUGUGUGCUCUCUCUUCCCCUAUAGGUCAAUGUAUUGGUUUACUGUAUAUAGUGCCAGACCUCGCACAAUGCAGCGCACACUGUAUUGCUCAGGCAUAUAUGGGACAGGUUGUUGGAGUAUGUUGUCAGAGAGUGAGAUAUUACAGUUGAAAUCAGAAGUUUACAUGCACCUUAGCCAAAUACAUUUAAACUCAGUUCUUCGCAUUUCCUGACAUUUAUCUAAUCUUAGUAAAAAUUCACUGUCUUAGGUCAGUUAGAAUCACCACUUUAUUUUAAGAAUGUGAAAUGUCAGAAUGAUUUAUUUAAGCUUUUCUUUCUUUAAUCAUAUUCCCAUUGGGUCAGAGGUUUACAUACACUCAAUUAGUGUUUAGUAGCAUUGCCUUUAAAUUGUUUAACUUGAGUAAAACAUUUCUGGUAGCCUUCCACAAGCUUCCCACAAUAAGUUGGGUGAAUUUUGUCCCAUUCCUCCUGACAGAGCUGAUGUAACUAAGUCAUGCUCGCGCACACUUUUUCAGUUCUGCCCACAGAUUGUCUAUAGGAUUGAUGUCAGGUCUUUGUGUUGGCCACUCCAAUAACUUGAGUUUGUUGUCCUUAAGCCAUUUUGCCACAACUUUGGAAGUAUGCUUGGGGUCAUUGUCCAUUUAGAAGACCUAUUUGAGACCAAGCUUUAACUUCCUGACUGAUGUCUUGAGAUGUUGUGUCAAUAUAUCCACAUAACUCUCCUCAUGCCUCAUGAUGCCAUAUAUUUUGUUAAGUGCACCAGUCCCUCCUGCAGCAAAGCACCCCACAACAUGAUGCUGCCAAUCGGUUCACGGUUGGGAUGGUGUUCUUCGGCUUGCAAGCGUCCCCCUUUUUCCUCCAAACAUAACGAUGGUCAUUAUGGCCAUACAGUUCGAUUUUUGUUUCAUCAGACAAGAGGACAUUUCUCCAAAAAGUAUGAUCUUUGUCCCCAUGUGCAGUUGCAAACCGUAGUCUGGCUUUUUUAUGGCAGUUUUGGAGCAGUGAUGUCUUCCUUGCUGAGCGGCCUUUCAAGUUAUGUCGAUAUAGGACUCGUUUUACUGUGGAUAUAGAUACUUUUGGACCUGUUUCCUCCAGCAUCUUCACAAGGUCCUCAGCUGUUGUUCUGGGAUUGAUUUAGCGCUUUUUGCACCAAAGUCCGUUCAUCUCUAGGAGACAGAACGUGUCUCCAUCCUGAGCGGUAUGACUGCUGCGUGGUCCCAUGGUGUUUAUACUUGCAUACUAUUGUUUGUACAGAUGAACAUGGUACCUUCAGGCAUUUGGAAAUUGCUCCUAAGGAUGAAUCAGACUUGUGGAGGUCUACAUUUGUUUCUGAGGUCUUGGCUGAUUUCUUUUGAUUUUCCCAUGAUGUCAAGCAAAGAGGCACUGAGUUUGAAGGUAGGCCUUGAAAUGCAUCCACAGGUACACCUCCAAUUGACUCAAAUUAGGUCAAUUAGCCUAUCAGAAGCUUCUAAAGCCAUGAUAUAAUUUUCUGGAAUUUUCUGAGCUGUUUAAAGGCACAGUAAAUUGAGUGUACGUAAACUUCUGACCCACUGGAAUUGUGAUACAGAAAAAUUACUUGUCAUGCUAAAACUAGUUUGUUAUCAAGAAAUUUGUGGAGUGGUUGAAAAAUGAGUUUUAAUGACUCCAACCUAAGUGUAUGUAAACUUCCGAAUUCAAUUUUACAUGUGAAGAUUUACUCAAUGACAUUAGUCCUCAGAGGCCAUGAUAAAACAUUAGAAUCAACAUAUAUAAAACAGAUAUCAUUGUGAUGUCAACCAUAAGCCUAUUCAUCAUUGGCUGCAAUGCAUUUUUUUUAAAUGUAUAUCACAAUGAAAUUAAUAUAAAUCAUUUAUCCAAUCUGCAGCCUAGUCACACUGCUGUUUUUAAUGAGCUUUGCUCUUAGCAAAACACAUCCUGUGUUCUUUGCUUGGUGUUUGUUAGAACUUAUGCAUGUCCACCUGUUAUAUUCUGUUUUCAGUAAAUUCAUUU